GACGAACGCUGGCGGCGUGCCUAAUACAUGCAAGUCGAGCGGUGAAGGUUGGCACUUGUACGAACUGGGUGAGGAGCGAGCGGGUGAGUAACGCGAGUGGAAUCGGCCUUGGAGCGGGGUACAACAUUUGGAAAGGAAUUCUAAUACCGCAUAAGAACUUGAAACACAGGGUUGAAGGGUGAAAGAGGCAUUUGCAGGACUCAAAGAGGAUCCCCCGGUGUGUUAGGUAGUGGGUGAGGUAAAGGCUCACCAAGGCGAUGACACAUAGCCGACAUGAGAGGGUGAUCGGCCCCCCUGGGACUGAGACCCGGCCCCAAGCCCCUCGGGAAGCAGCCGGAGGGAAACUUCGGCCAUGGAGGAAAGUCUGACCGCGCACCGCCGAGGGAGUGAAGAAGGUCUUCGGGUCGUAAAAGUCUGUUGGUAGGGAAGAACGUUGGUGAGAGUGGAACGCUCCUCAAGUGACGGUAACUACCCAGAAAGCACCGGCUAACUACGUG
rnacentral:rRNA from 1 species